UCUGUCAGCAGGGGCCCGUCUCUCUAGUCAUUGACUAGAGUCGGGCCCGCAUCAGAAACCCACACCUGAAACCAAUUCCUCUCUGAGGACCCGGGACCCACGCUGGAAUUUGUGGCUCUGUUCCACCUCUAAACUUGCCCGACAGCUCUCUUCCCACGGAAUGCCCCUCGAGCUGAAGGGGAGAGGCAGCGAUUUGCUGUUCCCUUCCGUUAUCUCACAACCUCUGAAACCGCAGCAGCCUGGGUUCCAGGCCCGUGCGCAUCACAGCUUCCUUUCCAGUCAGCUCGCUUCUCCGAUGUACCAUUCAGCUGGAAAUUCAUUCCAAUUUUAAACGUCCAGCUUUGUUGUCCUGGUUUGAUUUAGAAAAUCCGCUUUGCAGCAUUUUCCUGAGGGAAACGUUGGGGUAACAUACCGGAGGGAUCUUGCCCAGCUCACCGAGAGGUGCACCACCUCCCAUAUCGACCUGAUGCCCAGAGAGCCUCGAGAGAGCUUCGCGUCCUGGUCCCAGACCCAGAGAAAGACCACAAGUGAUCCAGGAUCUACAACACAAGCCAUUGGAUCCACAACCUGGUGACUUGGAUUCCAGGAGACCCAGGAAAAAUCCAAAAUGUUCACAGGGGGAAAUGAGAACGUUAGGACACAAAGAUAUUUUCAGGUUUCCAAGGAUGAAUGGAAGUUCUGACUGGCUUUCGAUCCAAGGUGAGAGUGAAAACACUCAGGAAGUCUUUAGAAAGCUGUUUAGAAAGUUCCUUCCAGACAUAGUUUAGCUUAUUCUGUUACCCUCCCGAGAUGUGUAAACAUCUUGAUUUCGCAAUAUUUAAUUAUUUACAUGCAAUAUGGAUAAACUCAUUAGCGUGAUGUUUCCCUAAAUAUGCUUUUUGAAAGCUCUCUGUGUUUCUUACAGACAUAAAAAAAGAGAAAACGGGAAUUAUCACAUUAUGUAUUACAGCCAUUUUGUUGUGGAAAUGGAGCAUGAAGUAAACAAUUUAG